UCCCUGGUGGCUCAGAGGUUAAAGCGUCUGCCUACAAUGCGGGAGACCCGGGUUCAAUUCCUGGGUUGGGAA
rnacentral:tRNA from 1 species